GACGAACGCUGGCGGCGCGCUUAACACAUGCAAGUCGAGCGAGAACCGGGGCUUCGGCCCCGGGGAAAGCGGCGAACGGGUGAGUAACACGUGGGCAACCUGCCCUCGGCACCGGGAUAGCCCGGGGAAACCCGGAUUAAUACCGGAUGGCCUCCGGAGCCCUCGGGCGCCGGAGAAAAGGUGGCUUCGGCUUCCGGCUGAGGAGGGGCCUGCGGCGGAUUAGCUUGUUGGUGGGGUAACGGCUCACCAAGGCGACGAUCCGUAGCUGGUCUGAGAGGACGAUCAGCGACACUGGGACUGAGACACGGCCCAGACUCCUACGGGAGGCAGCAGUGGGGAAUCUUGCGCAAUGGGCGAAAGCCUGACGCAGCGACGCCGCGUGCGGGAAGAAGGCCUUCGGGUUGUAAACCGCUUUCAGGAGGGACGAAGCCACUCGGGUUAAUAGCCCAGAGGGUGACGGUACCUCCAGAAGAAGCCCCGGCUAACUACGUGCCAGCCGCCGCCGUAAUAC
rnacentral:rRNA from 1 species